GGGCCAAGUUGGACGGUCC
rnacentral:siRNA from 1 species